CCUACGGGAGGCAGCAGUGAGGAAUAUUGGUCAAUGGACGAGAGUCUGAACCAGCCAAGUAGCGUGAAGGAUGACUGCCCUAUGGGUUGUAAACUUCUUUUAUAAAGGAAUAAAACGAGGCACGUGUGCCUUUUUGCAUGUACUUUAUGAAUAAGGAUCGGCUAACUCCGUGCCAGCAGCCGCGGUACUACGGAGGAUCCGAGCGUUAUCCGGAUUGAUUGGGUUUAAAGGGAGCGUAGAUGGGUUGUUAAGUCAGUUGUGAAAGUUUGCGGCUCAACCGUAAAAUUGCAAUGGAUACGGGCAGUCUUGAUUACAGUUGAGGUAGGCGGAAUUCGUGGUGUAGCGGUGAAAUGCUUAGAUAUCACGAAGAACCCCGAUUGCGAAGGCAGCUUACUAAACUGUGACUGACAUUGAUGCUCGAAAGUGUGGGUAUCAAACAGGAUUAGAUACCCUAGUAGUC
rnacentral:rRNA from 1 species